AUGUUGAGCGCCGAUAGCUUGUGGGCAUGGUUCUUGUUGGGCUGCUUCUUGGAUGAGCUUGCUGCAAGAUGUUGCUGCUGCUGCCGUGGCUUGCUGCUGCUGCUGUGGCAUUUGCAGUUGCUGUCGUGUCUGUCGCGGCUUGCGCGGCAGCAGGGCCUCGUGCUCUCGCUCUCCUCCGAUGAGUGCGAGGUGUUCAUGGCGGCCUUCUUCCUCCCCAGCUUCGGCGACUUGGGACGGGUCGUGGGCAACUGCAGGCAAGCAAGAAGUUCAUUGUGUGAGAGGAAUCAAUACUACAAACUUUUCAAGAUCAAAGCGUUUUCUGAAGACCAAUGGACUAGAAAAUCGAUAUUUUUUCGGCAUCUACCUACCUUCUUGUAUUCAGCCUUGGGAGAAGGUGCCUCAUGGUAG
rnacentral:rRNA from 1 species